AUUGAACGCUGGCGGUAGGCCUAACACAUGCAAGUCGAACGGCAGCACAGUAAGAGCUUGCUCUUACGGGUGGCGAGUGGCGGACGGGUGAGGAAUACAUCGGAAUCUACUUUUUCGUGGGGGAUAACGUAGGGAAACUUACGCUAAUACCGCAUACGACCUACGGGUGAAAGCAGGGGAUCUUCGGACCUUGCGCGAUUGAAUGAGGCGAUGUCGGAUUAGCUAGUUGGCGGGGUAAAGGCCCACCAAGGCGACGAUCCGUAGCUGGUCUGAGAGGAUGAUCAGCCACACUGGAACUGAGACACGGUCCAGACUCCUACGGGAGGCAGCAGUGGGGAAUAUUGGACAAUGGGCGCAAGCCUGAUCCAGCCAUACCGCGUGGGUGAAGAAGGCCUUCGGGUUGUAAAGCCCUUUUGUUGGGAAAGAAAAGCAGCAGGUUAAUACCCCGCUGUUCUGACGGUACCCAAAGAAUAAGCACCGGCUAACUUCGUG
rnacentral:rRNA from 1 species